rnacentral:tRNA from 1 species
AUUAAAAUAGUUUAAAUAUCAAGCAAGGAGUUGUGGAUUCCUAGAUCCCGUAGGGUUUUAAUU